UAGGGAAUCUUCCGCAAUGGGCGAAAGCCUGACGGAGCAACGCCGCGUGAGUGAAGAAGGUCUUCGGAUCGUAAAACUCUGUUAUUAGGGAAGAACAAAUGUGUAAGUAACUAUGCACGUCUUGACGGUACCUAAUCAGAAAGCCACGGCUAACUACGUGCCAGCAGCCGCGGUAAUACGUAGGUGGCAAGCGUUAUCCGGAAUUCUUGGGCGUAAAGCGCGCGUAGGCGGUUUUUUAAGUCUGAUGUGAAAGCCCACGGCUCAACCGUGGAGGGUCAUUGGAAACUGGAAAACUUGAGUGCAGAAGAGGAAAGUGGAAUUCCAUGUGUAGCGGUGAAAUGCGCAGAGAUAUGGAGGAACACCAGUAGCGAAGGCGACUUUCUGGUCUGUAACUGUCGCUGAUGUGCGAAAGCGUGGGUAGCAAACAGG
rnacentral:rRNA from 1 species